rnacentral:rRNA from 1 species
ACGGAUAUCUCGGCUCACGCAUCGAUGAAGAACGUAGCAAAAUGCGAUACUUGGUGUGAAUUGCAGAAUCCCGUGAACCAUCGAGUUUUUGAACGCAAGUUGCGCCCGAAGCCAUUCGGCCGAGGGCACGUCUGCCUGGGCGUUACGCAUCGUAUCGCCCCCACA